UUUGGUGGGGACUUAAUCUCCGGGCUCACACCCUGUGGCCUUGAUUUCACCCAGCCAAAAAGCACCGGCUAACUCUGUGCCAGCAGCCGCGGUAAUACUUAAGGGUGCAAGCGUUAAUCGGAAUUACUGGGCGUAAAGCGCGCGUAAUCCGUUAUCUCAACCGGAUGUGAAAUCCCCGGGCUCAACCUGGGAAUUGCAUUCGAGACUGGUGGAAUUCCGUGCGGAAAAGGGAAAUUCAAUUUCCUGUGUAGCAAUGAAAUGGGUAAAUAUCGCAAGGAACAUCAGUGGCGAAGGCGGCUUCCUGGACCAUGACCGAGCAAUCAGGAUUAAAAGCGUGGGGAGCAAACAGGAUUAAAUACCCUGGUAAUCCACGCCAUAAACGAUGAGAACUAUGGGUUGAGAGGGUUAGCCUCCCUCCGUCCAAGCUAACACCGUCACUUCACCGCCUGGGGA
rnacentral:rRNA from 1 species